rnacentral:rRNA from 1 species
UACGAAGGGGGCUAGCGUUGCUCGGAAUCACUGGGCGUAAAGGGUGCGUAGGCGGGUCUUUAAGUCAGAGGUGAAAUCCUGGAGCUCAACUCCAGAACUGCCUUUGAUACUGAGGAUCUUGAGUUCGGGAGAGGUGAGUGGAACUGCGAGUGUAGAGGUGAAAUUCGUAGAUAUUCGCAAGAACACCAGUGGCGAAGGCGGCUCACUGGCCCGAUACUGACGCUGAGGCACGAAAGCCAGGGGAGCGAACGGG